CAGAGGUGGAGGCUGGAUAAGGUUUAGGGGACUCGUGCCCAUCGGGGCCGUGAGCGAGAAGGAAGGGCAGGCCCAGGGUGGACACCUGGGGUGUGCGUCACCGGCCAGAGAACAGGCUCAGAGACUUGCGUUUGUGUGCAAAGGACACGCGCAGCUGUUUUCAGUCAAAGGUACAUAAUUCACAUCUUGGCAGACACAGACGCAAAUUCCUGCUCUUGAGUAAUGAAGGCGACCGAACCGCACGCUCUGCCUGCAAACAUUCCACGCGGCCCCGCCGCCCCCGGGAGCCGUCCUGGGGUUCAGAUUCAGCAGAAAUGCCCCGAGCCCGGCCGCCCGGGCGCACGCGGGCUGGGCCGUCGCCUCCGCGGGAAGGCGGCAGGUGGGGCAGCUCCUCGCUGCCCGGGAGCCCGGCUUCGGCCUGCCAGCCCCGGCCUGGACGCGGGCCCGGAGGGAAAGCCCAGCUCUCCACGGAGCCACCGCGGCCCGUUAUUGCUGCUCGAAAACAGCCCUGGAUCCUCAGCAGAGAGCAGGGUGACAGGCCCGGCUGUCGUGCUCAGCUCUGCGUGAAAUGGCCAUCGGCCGCUUGACUUCUGUGACGAGCAGGCUGGUGGCUUCCGAUGGGUGUGAAUAAACCCCUGGCCGCGUGCGGGACCUGCCGGAGGCCUCGGGGUCCUGUCUGCCAAAGAAGCGCGAGUCCGUACAGUCACGGCUCGUGCCCACGUGAAAUGCCCUGUUGUCGCCCGGAACUUGCAGAUGAGCCAAAACGACUGUGCUCACUCCUGGUCUGCGUCUUGCCAUAGCCUGUGAUCCGUCCUCCAGUAAGUAGCCAUCUCGAAAAAAUAAACUGAGCACAUUUAAACAAUUACAGAGAUUUUCCGCCAGAAGAGUAUAAUGGACCGCCCAUCCCCCAGACUCCACGGUUAGCAGGAUUUGCCCCAUUCCCUCCAGCUGCCUCUCCUCUUUCUACCAAAGUAUUUUAAAGCCGAUCCCAGACGCCACGUGGAUUUUAAGACAUAACUGUGGUGUCGCAUCACCGAUCCCGCGCAGAUUGCUCUGUCUCACAGACGUUUUUUCCUCACUGCUUCCCCAGAGUCAGGACUCAAACAAGAGCCCCAGCAUUUGGUCAAGUCUCUACAGGCUCUUGGUGGAAUGUGAUCUGCUCCCUUUUAUUUGGUGGCUCAUGUCACUGCCUUGUGGGAUUCCCAGGAUCAGUGGUGCCACGGGGCCCCACGGUCUGGAUUCGUUGAUCUGGGGCCUCACAUUUCGAUUCCUCCACCUGGAAGGAGAAGCGGGUGCCCCUGAGCCACCUCGGGAAGGGUCGUGGUGUCCAAUAAACCCCGCCUGGGCUGCUGGAGCUCAAAGGAGCCAGCUUCCCCAGCUGCUGUAGGACGUGUCUGCCUGUGUUUUAAGGACGUUUCCUGGAUUAUUGUUGAACAGCACAGUAGGCGUUUGCUGCCCAGCAUCACCACCUCAUUUGGUGUCAGCUCUGUUCCUUCAUUCUACAGAGGCUCCUGGCUGCGCACCUGGCGACCUGCUUGAUGCUGUGAGACUGUGCUUCUGACUCCGGUUCACACAAGACCCAUCUGGGGGUCUGGUUAACGUUUGGAUCCCCUCAGUAGGACUUGGAUGGGACCUGCCAUUCUGCAUUUUUGGGAUGCUUCCAGGUGAGGAAGAUGCUGCUGGUCUGUGGACCACACUUUGAGAAGCAAGGCCUUAUGUUUUUUACUUUGAACCUUCAUAACAAUCUUUGAACUGAGAUAAACUGGUUCAGAGAAGGUAGGUGACCUCCUCAGGAAAAUGAGCACUCAGGUAAGUGAUCUCCUCAGGUAAGGGACCUCUCAGGUAAGUGAGCUUUCAAGUAAGUGACCUCUCAGCUAUGGGAUCUCUCCAGGUAAGUGACCUCUCAAGGCAAGUGGCCUCCUUAGGUAAGUGACAUUGUCACAUAAGUGACGUCCUUGGGUUAGUGGCCUCCCCAGUGUCAUGUGGCAAGUAUACGAUGGAGGCAGGAUUUGAAUAUAGAUCUUCUCAAUCCCACAGCUCCCGUCUUAACCAACACAUGCCUAUAACUGCAACUCCAUGGGUGAUUUUCCUAUAAUUUUUCCUUGAAGUCUGAUUUGCAGAACGGUUUUACUAAUUAGAAGUUAUAAGAUGAUUUCUCCUCAGAGUCACUAGACUGUGAAAGCUGCUCUCGUGUUGAAGCUCUCUUAUCAGUCCGGGCGAAGUGAGUGAACGUCCGAGUCGCCUUGGAAGGAGGGCACAGGCCGGAAUCCUAUCACUAAGCGCUCACCGUCAGUAGCUCAGCAGAAACGAGGCAUUUUACCAGGACCUAAAUCUGCAGUUGCUUUUACCAUAACGUUCAACACAGAAUCUUGACUGGGAGAGCGUGCAGACUUGAAGAGGCUGCUGUUACCUUGUCCAAUGUUUAAACAGAUGAAGCCCCAAGGGGAAGAAUUCUCAUGUGGACACUGACCUUGACAAACCUACGGUCUCUCCUCAUAUCACCCGCUUGUUUGCAUCUGGGUGCUCCACGGUGCCCGUGCCUGGGACCCCAGUCCCAUUCGGGGUCCGCCUCCCACGGCCCUGCUUUAGGUGACCAGGAAGGGACAUGUCAGUACCCCUCUCCUUGUCUUAGGAGAAAAGUAGGUGAGAAGAGACGACCUAACCAACAGACAACAACGAUGCAAGUAAAAUCCCCCAACAGGAGAGUCCCAAGGGAGUGAGGUCAGAAUAAAAUGUAUGUCAAUAAUUUACAUGCCCUUUAUUUAUAUGCCCUUUAAGAUUUUUUUUGAAUGGGAAUAUGUGCUUAGUUAGAAACACACCUCAGAUUUCUAUCCAAGCAACAGUAUCAAGUAAAAAAAUUUAAGUCAUCUGAUUUUGCAGAAAAAAGCAAAAUACCACAUAGAAUACCAGAAUUCCUCACCAUUUUAUAAUUGGGACUGUCCAGGGCCCCUGGAGCAGAGGAGGUUUUCUCACUGCGAGGUCUAUGACUGCACACAUUUGCCACUUCAUUUUCAGGGUGCAGACAUCGGCGAUGGAGCCUUCGUCGUCUUGCCCCACUUGGCCCCUUGGUCUGUGUGAACCUGGAAACGUGAGCAGCCGGCGGCAGAAGGCCCCAUCCCCUGUGAUCCCGGCCUGUCUCUUCUUCAGGGCCUCACCUUGCCCAUGGGGCAGAACUAGGUGAGCUCGAGAGCCUCUCAUCGAACUCCAGCGUUUAGAUUUCAAGAGCCGAGCUGUUUCUGAAAAGGUCCCCACGGCACAGAAGAAGUCCCUGGAUCUUCUUCUUUGGCAAAACUGGAACAAUGACUAUGAUGAUGUUGAUAAUCAUGAACCUCUUCUUCAACCUGGCAACAUUGUCACAAGGAUCAAAGGAAAGAGGCAGACACUUUGGAAUCAGCAAAUCCCAGAAUGAGUGUUAGCAGGAGCAGAUGUUAUGGUUAUUACUGUUAUUAUUAUUAAUGCACCAAAAUUGGUUUGUUUAUUGUGAAAUUGGUUCUUUCAGGAUAAUAGAGUGCUUGAUGUCAGAUAUCUCAAUCAGGGAAACUGAAAAUUCUGUUUUUUUUAUUGUAAAAUCGAUAUUGCAUGAAAUUGAUUUUUUAAUUAAAAUUAAUUUUCAUUA